UGGAGGAGCUGCAGUCAGGAUUUCUGGCCACUAAAGCAGGGCUCAACUUCAAAUAACUAGACCAGUUAGAAAGCAGGCAGCCCAAAAUAAAGGGCUGAAUCUGCCUCUAAGCUGAUGACCUCUGAGAGCUAUUUCUUGUAUUUUUCUAUGAGAUGAAAUUCUAUGCAGAAAAGAACUUUUACACAUGUGAAGAACAUGCAAGUGUUGAUUUUGCAAUGCAUGUGCUUGCUGGGAAUCCACUGUAACAGCUGUAUGAAACAGGUCAAGGCAACUGAAAACAGAAGGGAGUGCUGAACUUUGCAUAGCAGGACUGAGCUCUGGAGGUCACAGAAUUCCCGAGGUGCGCUAAGAAACACAGGAUAGCUCCAAACGGCUAAUCUGAGGUGGAAGAAUUAGCCUUUUUUGAAAGAACUCAGUGGAAAAUUCUGACAAACUGCUUCUGGAAUCUUGUGAGAAACAGUUUCCGUUUUAAAAAAAAUCAAGAUGCCUACACAGGCCAAUGAUGGCAGAGUUUCUGUGCUGCUUUGGAAGUGUCCUGUGGUGCAAGGGUGUUGAGUGCGGAGAAAGCACAAGAGCAUGCCAAUUUCUGACCAAUGUAAUGUUUUGCGGGGCAAAAAGUAUGCACAUCAUUUCAAAUAACAGCACCAAGCUGGGCACCAGGCAAGGCAAGGCACCAUCUAAGACCACCGGCACUAUUUCACCAUGGAGGACAUGGAGUAUAUCUGGAUCCCCAAAGGUUCUGGUUAGAGCCUGCAAGAAAACCGACAGAGACUUAAGGAGAGCAGCUGAGCUUAGUGGUAGCCUCCAUUUUGCACACCUUGAGAUAAAGCAUUCCUGGCCACAUCUUUAUAGAGCAGAUAGCAUACACCUCUCAGAAGUAACACUUAUUUUUGCAGAAUCUGCAGCAUGAAUGGUGGAGCUUUUCUAGCACAAGUGGGGGCACUAAGCAGGUCUGGGACAGUGUGGGCAGAGAAUAAAAUCAGAAAUAUUGGUGGGUAUGCUGUAGCAUCUGUCUGGUUCUUCAGACCAAGAGUAACUGGACCAGGAGAUGGGGACAGAAGCACCCUUGAGGCAUGCCUGACUAGCACACCCAGAGGGGUAGUGACUUGGGCAUGGCCUCUCUGAGCACAUCUUAUGGUGUGCAGCGAGGAUGACAUGGUGGCAGUGAAUUAACCAUCAUAUGGCCAGAUCCAGGAUAAAGCCUGCCCUUCAGAAGUUUGCUGAAGUACAACUUCCAUCAGCCCUAGCCAGCAUUGCCAAUGGUCAGGGAUGAUUGAAGUUAUGGUUCAGCAACAUCCAGAAGGUUGCAGGUUAUUCACCCCUGCUUUAACAGGAUAGCUCACACUAUUUAUUAGCCGGGAAAAGUCACUGCUUGUUGCAGAUCCUGUUAAUUAUUUAUGGCCCAUAUUUAUACUAAAGCUUGUGCCUCACCCCUUGAUUCACCACUGUGUGCACAACUACUGUACCUUCAAGUUGUAUCCAGAAGAAGAAGAAAGGGAGCAUUUAUUUACUUUUCCACCUGUAUUAAGUAGGAUAAGUUCCCAGGAGCCAGAGCCUAAAGAGUCCUUCUUUAAAUUGCUUAUGUAGUCCCAGCUGACUUGAUUUCACUAUGCCUUGCAUGGAACAGCUUCAUUCCUCCGGUACCUCCCUGGUAGGAUAAAGCCAUGCCUUACAACUCCAAAAAAAUCUCAGUGAAUGAAGGCUCUGUCUGGAAUGCUGCCUUCUUCCCCAGAAGCCUCACCUUCUCUGAGUCACAGCCCUCCUCUCUAUUUCCAGCCUGCUGUAGAUCCCGACUGUCAUCCUUUCCCUACACAAUUAAGGGGCAAGGGGAAUAAGAACAACCCAAAUAUUUCUGCUAUUAUCAGGACUCAGGAGACAGCCAUGAUUGUACUGUAUAUUAAAAGCUGGAAGGGAAGGGUGACUAGAGACGCAAAAUUCUGAGAGCAAGAGGCAUCCUCCCAAAUGAUGAAGCUAGAUGGCACAAAGAUUCCAUUGUUGCACUCUUGCACCUCCCUUGUUGCUGGGCUUCACAGCAUAUUCUGUUAUCACAUGCUAACUGCAUUUCUGCCUCCACACUAGGCCUUUGCACAUAGCUACAGCAUGUUUGUUCAUUUGCUGCCAUUCUUCUCCUGAACAACUUUUAAAGGGCAGCAAAACUAACUGAGACUGUACUGGUACUCCAAGAGCAAUUUUCAGUAACUCAACUCUUCUCCUGGCCUGAGCCAUCGAGUACAUGUAGACACAGAAAGAGAAACAAAAGCAGGAGAUAGCAUUUUAUUGAAGCUGUACCAAGGCUAGAAUUUACUCUGGCCACAUGUGGAUAUUAACAGAAAGGGCAGGCAGUGCUCAGGGGAAACGGGGAGGCCGGCAGGAAUCAGGGAGUGGUCAGUGUCUGAAAGUGGAUAUACCGAGUCCAGCUGCAGCAGGCCUGCAAAACAAUCUCUAUGAAGAAUCCAUCUAUCCUGCUUCCUGGGCUGGCUCCUCACACAGCUCAAAUUAUGGCAGCUGUUCCUCCCUGCCUGGCACAACAGAGGAGCAAUGGAGACAUUCUACAAAUAAUACCAUGGAAACACUAAUCAGAUAUACACACAAGCUCUCACUCAGCACCACCCUCCAUGGCUCUUGCAUGCUUAUGCAAGCCUAUCUUGUUGGAUGGGAUGUAAAAAAAUGAAAAAAGUGUCUACACUCCUUAUUCUACCAUCUCCACCCAAGAGACACCUCAGUCUCUAAUUACCUGAUUACUCUAAUUACCUAAGUACCUGUCAUGUAAGCCUACCACCCUCUUCUGAGGCAGAAUAAGCCCAGAGGCGAUAGAUUAGAGCAGCCUUU